AGCUUGUUGGUGGGGUAAUGGCCUACCAAGGCGACGACGGGUAGCCGGCCUGAGAGGGCGACCGGCCACACUGGGACUGAGACACGGCCCCGACUCCUACGGGAGGCAGCAGUGGGAAUAUUGCACAAUGGGCGGAAGCCUGAUGCAGCGACGCCGCGUGAGGGAUGAGGCCUUCGGGUUGUAAACCUCUUUCAGCAGGGACGAAGCGCAAGUGACGGUACCUGCAGAAGAAGCGCCGGCCAACUACGUGCCAGCAGCCGCGGUAAGACGUAGGGCGCGAGCGUUGUCCGGAUUUAUUGGGCGUAAAGAGCUCGUAGGCGGCUUGUCGCGUCGGCUGUGAAAACCCGUGGCUCAACUGCGGGCUUGCAGCCGAUACGGGCAGGCUAGAGUUCGGUAGGGGAGACUGGAAUUCCUGGUGUAGCGGUGAAAUGCGCAGAUAUCAGGAGGAACACCGGUGGCGAAGGCGGGUCUCUGGGCCGAUACUGACGCUGAGGAGCGAAAGCGUGGGGAGCGAACAGGAUUAGAUACCCUGGUGGUCCACGCUGUAAACGUUGGGCGCUAGGUGUGGGGGACCUCUCCGGUUCUCUGUGCCGCAGCUAACGCAUUAAGCGCCCCGCCUGGGGAGUACGGCCGCAAGGCUAAAACUCAAAGGAGUUGACGGGGGCCCGCACAAGCGGCGGAGCAUGCGGAUUAAUUCGAUGCAACGCGAAGAACCUUACCUGGGUUUGACAUCACCGCAAAACUUCCAGAGAUGGGAGGUCCUUCGGGGGCGGCGACAGGUGGUGCAUGGCUGUCGUCAGCUCGUGUCGUGAGAUGUUGGGUUAAGUCCCGCAACGAGCGCAACCCUCGUUCGAUGUUGCCAGCGGGUUAUGCCGGGGACUCAUCGAAAAUGCCGGGGUCAACUCGGAGGAAGGUGGGGAUGACGUCAAGUCAUCAUGCCCCUUAUGUCCAGGGCUUCACGCAUGCUACAAUGGCCGGUACAAUGGGCUGCGAUACCGCAAGGUGGAGCGAAUCCCAAAAAGCCGGUCUCAGUUCGGAUCGGGGUCUGCAACUCGACCCCGUGAAGUCGGAGUCGCUAGUAAUCGCAGAUCAGCAACGCUGCGGUGAAUACGUUCCCGGGCCUUGUACACACCGCCCGUCACGUCACGAAAGUCGGCAACACCCGAAGCCGGUGGCCCAACCCUUGUGGAGGGAGCCGUCGAAGGUGGGGCUGGCGAUUGGGACGAAGUCGUAACAAGGUAGCCGUACCGGAAGGUGCGGCUG
rnacentral:rRNA from 1 species